GACGAACGCUGACGGCGUGCUUAACACAUGCAAGUCGAACGGUGAAGCGCCUUCCUUUUUGGUGGGUGUGGAUGAGUGGCGAACGGGUGAGUAACACGUGAGUAACCUGCCCCCUUCUUCUGGAUAACCGCAUGAAAGUGUGGCUAAUACGGGAUAUUCUGGGUCUGUCGCAUGAUGGGUCUGGGAAAGAUAUUGUUUCGGUGGGGGAUGGGCUCGCGGCCUAUCAGCUUGUUGGUGGGGUGAUGGCCUACCAAGGCGGUGACGGGUAGCCGGCCUGGGAGGGUGGACGGUCACACUGGGGCGGAGACACGGCCCAGACUCCUACGGGAGGCAGCAGUGGGGAAUAUUGCACAAUGGGCGAAAGCCUGAUGCAGCGACGCCGCGUGAGGGAUGGAGGCCUUCGGGUUGUGAACCUCUUUCGCCAGUGAAGCAGGCCUGCCUCGUUUGUGGGUGGGUUGACGGUAGCUGGAUAAGAAGCGCCGGCUAACUACGUG
rnacentral:rRNA from 1 species